rnacentral:rRNA from 1 species
CCUACGGGAGGCUGCAGUGGGGAAUAUUGGACAAUGGGGGCAACCCUGAUCCAGCCAUGCCGCGUGUGUGAAGAAGGCCCUCAGGUUGUAAAGCACUUUCAGUGAGGAAGAACGCCUGGUGGUUAAUACCCAUCAGGAAAGACAUCACUCACAGAAGAAGCACCGGCUAACUCCGUGCCAGCAGCCGCGGUAAUACGGAGGGUGCGAGCGUUAAUCGGAAUUACUGGGCGUAAAGCGCGCGUAGGUGGCUUGAUAAGCCGGUUGUGAAAGCCCCGGGCUCAACCUGGGAACGGCAUCCGGAACUGUCAAGCUAGAGUGCAGGAGAGGAAGGUAGAAUUCCCGGUGUAGCGGUGAAAUGCGUAGAGAUCGGGAGGAAUACCAGUGGCGAAGGCGGCCUUCUGGACUGACACUGACACUGAGGUGCGAAAGCGUGGGUAGCAAACAGGAUUAGAUACCCUAGUAGUC